rnacentral:sRNA from 1 species
UCCUUCUCAUGUUGCUCUAAGUUUGGA